GGUCCUGUUGGCAGUAAGGGCAGGCACCAGUACUGGUAUUGGCAGUACUGUGUGACACAGUCAGGGCACCAGUCUGCUCAUCAGUCUGGUGCUGCUGUAGAGUCAGUACUGUUAGGACCUGUCCUGUACUGGUACCUGCCCAGGCCAGCCCUACCCCCAGCUGGACCUGUGUGUUUAACCCUUUUAAUGCUAAAUCCUUGCAGCGAGGACCAGCGUAACUUGCCAGUGGUGCUAAAUCCUUGGAGCGAGGACCAGCGUAACUUGCCAGUGGUGCUAAAUCCUUGCUGCGGUGAAUUGUUUUUGAGACACAGCGGUUGAAAGAGCGAGCACUAGCGUCACUUGCUGAACGUGCCUGUACAUUUGCAGGAGAGGCUUACAUAACCGAAUCUUAUAGAUCUUGGCCUCCGCUUUCCAAUGUUUUUUUUUUUUUUUUUUUUUUUAGCUGUGAUGAAUAGUUUUUGAGAUGCUGAGGUUAAAAGAGACCCCCCUCCCUCAGUUGGGCUGCCCGAGUGCACCUGGGGGAUAGUCUCGCUGCGAGGGACUAGCAAUGAAAGGGUUAACAGCUGCUGGCAGGUAUGAUUCAGUGUUCAGAACACUGAUCUCUGAAUCUAAGGAUUGGUUAAGUCUGUGCAAAGCUUGAAGCCACAGCCAGCUUUGGUUCCCUGGGCCCAUGUAAGGUUUGGGACGUCAGUGAGUGGCAGGCAGUGAUGAAACACUGCUGCCUUACAAAUUUAUUGAGUAUUUUAAUGCCCUCACUACCAUGUGUUUAUGCCAAAACAACACUGGCUGCCUGUUUUGCCUGCCCAAAACAAAGGAAAUGUCAGCACCUGCCUGUAACAUGCUCUAAGUACUGAUGGCUGUAAUAUUUUGAGUGUUGCUUGAUUGUGUUGGAAAUGCUGCAAACCACAGGAAGAAAGUAAUAAUGAUCUCUGCAACAUUUAUUUCAGUCAUCCCUUAAUGGCUGACAACACAACAAAAUCAGACAUAGCAUUGUUGUCUUGCAAGAUUUGAAGCAAAACAGUUACUCUAUUGGAUGGUGACCAAAGAAAACUGUUACACCUGGUGACUUGUAAACUGUAACAUUUGUUCUUCCUCAAGUCAGCCCAGUAAUACUUAACACAUGCCAGUGUGUACAGCAUGAUACUACAGCCAAGGAAUUAUUGUUUUGUGCCAAGUAUGGAAACAGAUAGUGUUUACUUUCACUUAAUGGGAUAACAAACCAUUAGUUAGGGCACUCAGUACACUUGUAAUGAAGUGUGUUAGCACGGACACACUCGGCCAGUGAUGAGUCGUGAAUGUUUCCCUCAACAGCUGAGGCCCCGGCCUUCAGGACUCCUGCCCGGCCCACUGCAGAGAAAGACACCAACAGGUCACUGCUUUGUACACUCUCCACAGUUUUAUCUCCUCAUCUAUAUAGAAAGAAGUAUUCACUUGUAAAUGAUGCCCAUGGAAGGGAAACUUAAGCACCUGAACUUGAAGAUGAAGGAAAUGUCUGAGGGUUCAUGGUGAGGACUGUUUCAGGGACAAGCUGUUUGUAAGGAAUUUUUGUAACUUACAGUUUACAGUAUGUGUGGCCAGUCAGUCAUGCUGCCCAUCAUUCUUCCUGGCAUUUCUUGCAUGCACACACAGCAUCCUUUCCUUGGAAAUGGUCAAAUUGUCCCCAUGAAGCUUUGGAGGUGAUGAAAAAAUUCUCAGGGUCAGCCUUUGUGCAUCUUUGGGGAAAUGCACCAAUGUGCCAAUCCACAGCUAUAAAAAUUAGCAGGCCUGUGACCAUGUCUCCAUGCUCCUGUGGUCAGCAUGCCUGGCUGUUACUCCUUGGGCUCAGAUUCGAAUCCCGGCCCGGGCAGUCGGCGUGCAGGUCACCCAGCUGUUCAUCUUCCCUUUGGUGGUUAACCCUUAAAGCGGUGGCUUGUUUUGCCCUGCAGGCUGUCCUCCCACGCGGGCAUAUUCGGCAAAAACAUACUUCUCUUCAACCUUUUAUAUCUUCACUUCUACUUACCUCACGUGACUGAAUGAAGUACCAUUGUAAAGUACUUACCCUUAACUGUCCUUUGACGUUAAGUUGAAGACUAUAUAACCAUUGCUGGAGUGAGUACGGAAUAUUGAAGUAGGAUCACUGAAAGAACGUUACGUAUCAUAGACAGUUUUCCAUCCCUAGUGGACUUCCCAUCUAUGUUUUAGUAAUAAAGAGCAUAACUUUUUUACAGUUUAUGUGAAACACACCCAAACAAGCUUAACUUCCAGGCCUUCCUGAUGCCCUUGGCGGGUGCUGUGGCCCCCAUCUUGUGGAUGAAAUUCCCUGUAAGGUGAGAAGAGGUGGGUGUACAUCUUGUCAAAGCUAACACAAGGCAGCACACACUGACCAGUCAAGGCAGCAUGGCUGGGUAGUGUUGGAAAGAAAACACAAGCUUACUUCACCACAAACAAAGGAAAUCUGACGGCGCACCAAGUCAAAAAAUGCUUGUUGAAUGUUGUCCACACCGGGCCUUGAGCCCAGGCACCAGCUGUGACCCACUGUUGUCCACACCCGCGCUGUAAGGGUUAAACUCAAUGUCAGCAGGACUUUGCUUUUCAACAUCAUUAUUGAAUAUUAACCCAUAAAGGCCGACAAUACCCCCCGCGUCUACCCCCCAAAGCCGCAUUAAUCGUCUUAAAAUCAACUCUUGCAGAAUGACCUGGAAGCAAUUUUAGCUGUGGUAUUCAUUUAAAUACAUCAGCAUGUGAAAUAUUUUUGCUUAGCGUUGUGCACCCAAGGCCUUUUCCCGGUCUAUUAUAGGCCUGUUUGUUUGUUUUUGGACCCUCUGUGACAGUGGGGCAGUCACAGUGUGACUUUUCAGGCGCAGGAGGACUGGCCGCCUGCAUUGGACCUCUGCAUCACUGGCCCGCGUGCAUCACCUCCCAACAUCAUUGCAGCCUUUUUGGUCCCCUUGGACGUUUAGGGACACGUGCAGAAGCAGCAUCCGUUGCUACAGCUGCCGCAGCACUCGUUGUUGGCGUGGCAGAGGUGGUGGUCACUUUACUGGGGUCGGUCUAUGGGACAGAGGUAGGGUGCGUGGGGGAGGUGGUGAUGGUCCGGGGCGACAGUGUAGACAUAAGCCUACUCCUCAAGCCAAAUUAGCAGCGCUACUAAUGUUAGCGCAGUUAUGAUACGCGCGUAAAGUAGCUGUCCCAUAAGGGAUCUAUCGGCCUGCGGUGACGCAGUCCCAUAUGGGCCCUACCGGCCGGGACGGUUAAGUUGAGGGAGGGAAGUGACGGUGGAGGUUGUUUUGAAAUGUAUUGUUUGCUGCAUCAGCACUGGACCACGGAAGGGGAAGCUUGUUUUGAAAUGUAUUGUUUGCUGCAGCACUGGACCACGGAAGGGAAGGUUGUUUUGAAAUGUAUUGUUUGCUGCAGCACUGGACCACGGAAGGGGAAGCUUGUUUUGAAAUGUAUUGUUUGCUGCAGCACUGGACCACGGAAGGGAAGCUUGUUUUGAAAUGUAUUGUUUGCUGCAGCACUGGACCACGGAAGGGAAGCUUGUUUUGAAAUGUAUUGUUUGCUGCAGCACUGGACCACGGAAGGGAAGGUUGUUUUGAAAUGUAUUGUUUGCUGCAGCACUGGACCACGGAAGGGAAGGUUGUUUUGAAAUGUAUUGUUUGCUGCAGCACUGGACCACGGAAGGGAAGCUUGUUUUGAAAUGUAUUGUUUGCUGCAGCACUGGACCACGGAAGGGAAGCUUGUUUUGAAAUGUAUUGUUUGCUGCAGCACUGGACCACGGAAGGUAAGGUUGUUUUGAAAUGUAUUGUUUGCUGCAGCACUGGACCACGGAAGGGAAGGUUGUUUUGAAAUGUAUUGUUUGCUGCAGCACUGGACCACGGAAGGGAAGGUUGUUUUGAAAUGUAUUGUUUGCUGCAGCACUGGACCACGGAAGGGAAGCUUGUUUUGAAAUGUAUUGUUUGCUGCAGCACUGGACCACGGAAGGGAAGCUUGUUUUGAAAUGUAUUGUUUGCUGCAGCACUGGACCACGGAAGGGAAGCUUGUUUUGAAAUGUAUUGUUUGCUGCAGCACUGGACCACGGAAGGGAAGGUUGUUUUGAAAUGUAUUGUUUGCUGCAGCACUGGACCACGGAAGGGAAGGUUGUUUUGAAAUGUAUUGUUUGCUGCAGCACUGGACCACGGAAGGGGAAGCUUGUUUUGAAAUGUAUUGUUUGCUGCAGCACUGGACCACGGAAGGGAAGGUUGUUUUGAAAUGUAUUGUUUGCUGCAGCACUGGACCACGGAAGGGAAGGUUGUUUUGAAAUGUAUUGUUUGCUGCAGCACUGGACCACGGAAGGGAAGCUUGUUUUGAAAUGUAUUGUUUGCUGCAGCACUGGACCACGGAAGGGAAGCUUGUUUUGAAAUGUAUUGUUUGCUGCAGCACUGGACCACGGAAGGGAAGGUUGUUUUGAAAUGUAUUGUUUGCUGCAGCACUGGACCACGGAAGGGAAGCUUGUUUUGAAAUGUAUUGUUUGCUGCAGCACUGGACCACGGAAGGGGAAGCUUGUUCAGCGCUGGGAAUGUGUCUUCAAUGAAUCAAUUUGUUUACGCUUAAGUUUGCUGCCAUUCUCUCUCUCUCUCUCUCUCUCUCUCUCUCUCUCUCUCUCUCUCUCUCUCUCUCUCUCUCUCUCUCUCUCUCUCUCUCUCUCAAGCUUGACUCUGAAUAAGAAAAAAAGUAAACAAAUUGAAUUAAAUAAAAAAAAUCCCUCUUGUGUCGCUUGUGCUUCCCAACAAACAAACAAACAAACAAACAAACACAAAAAUACAUAAAUAAAAUAAAUAAAAAUAAAUCCAUAAAGGUGUUCAUCUGAUUUUUCUUCUUUCAAUAUAAUUUUUUCUCCUUUUUUAUUUGCUAUUUUUUUUCUUUUCAUGAAUUUAUUGCUAUCUCAAUUGUUUACACAGGCAGAAGAAGAAGAAGAAGAAGAAGAAAACACACAGAGAGAGAAGAGGAGGAAGAAGAAGAGGAAGGACUUGUAAUAUGGCAGACAUCAAACCAAUGGAUGUGUGAAGAAGAAAAAGAAGAGGAAGAAGAAGAAGAAGAAGAAGACUCUGCUCACAAGUAAGAAAUUCUGUGUCCCCGCUGUACCUCAUUGGAGAAGAAUCGAGCGGUUGAGUGGACUCCAUCUCUUGAGGGGCGGCUUCGUAUCCCAGCGUGAUCUCCUGCAAGGCAUCCCAGCACACACCACAUGCUCUGGAGGGGGAGAGAAAGUCAAGAUGAAUUGGCCUUGUCUUGGAGGAAAUGUACUCUGUUUUGAUUUUGCUCUCAAUAAACAUAGACCCUAA